ensembl:lncRNA
GGAGGGAAAAGAGAGAAAGCGGGUCUGUCUCUGGUCCGUGCUCCGCUGGGGAGCUGGCCACGGAUGAAAGCGAGCGACGGGGAGACGUGUUCUAAUCUGCCGGCCUGGGGAGACAGGGUCGCACAACGCUGGCUUGGCCUCAGCCACUACCUGCCUAAGCACAGCCAGGGCCUGACUACAGGACCCACAAACACAGGACCCACAACCCCAGCACCCACAACCACAGGACCCACAACUACAGGACCCACAGCCACAGGACUCCCAAUCACAGGAACGACAAAUACAGGAUCCACAACUACAGGAAUGACAAAUACAGGACAUAUAACCACAGGACAUAUAACCACAGGAACGACAACCACAGGACCCACAACCACAGGACCCGCAACUACAGGACCCGCAACUACAGGACCGACAACCACAGGAUCCACAACCACAGGACCCACAACCACAGGAAAGACAACUACAGGACCCACAACCACAGGGCCCACAACCAAAGGACGCACAACCACAGGGCCCACAACCACAGGACCCACAACAACAUGAAUGACAACUACAGGACCCACAACUACAGGACCCACAACCAUAGGGCCCACAACCACAGGACUGACAAUCUGGGCCAACAAAACAUCAGAGGAGGAGGGAGGUCCACUUUUAUCUUGGUGACAGGGCCUUUCACCUCCACCGCGGAUUCACUGGGGUCCCGUGCUCCUGUUGCACCCUGGGAUACCAGACGACGGAGGAUGCCUCUGACCCACGUACCCUGGCAACCGUUCCUGGGGACAGGCAAGGCUUGCCCACUGACCCCCCGCACCAGCUCUCUGCUCCCCUAGCCCUCAGCUCUACCCAGCCCUCCACCCAGCCUCCCUAGUCUGCGUCCAAGACUCUGGCCACACAUAAAACCCCGACAGGCCUCUGACGAAUGGGGUUGGAGAGAGGAGAGAGAGGCCCUUGAUGUUGGAAAUAAAUCUGACAGGCCCUACUGGAAAGGGGCAGGCCUAAUCUUUCCCAGAGACUGUUUUUUUCUUCAUUUUUUUAAAUAUCCUUCCAUUAUUUCCAGCGCUACCUCCUUUUUUUUGUCCGUUUCUACACAGAUAAUGUUGUAAUUUACAGCCAAGCAUUGUGAAAGAUGAAUGAUAGUUGCUUUUAGACUUAAUACACAUUAGCAUUUAACAGUUUCUAAUGGUAAGAGGCGUGAAAGAAAAACCUUCAAAGGAUUUAUUUUUUUUUCUUCCUGAAGUUAUGUAAUGUGCAAAGUGAUAUAAUUUCAAAGGAUUCAACAUUUAUACUGAUCAAAGUGUACUGAUCAAUCUUCUUCUUAUGUGUUUUCCAUUUCUCUGUCUGUAGUCAUUUCUGUGUGCUUUUCCUGUGUGCACAUGUGUGAAACAUGGUUUAUCAACAUACACUCGUACAGCAUAUAGCUGCAAUAGGAUUGCGUUUCUAAUUUGACAUUUUUGUUUUUGCACACAAUCAUACUGUAGCUGAUUGUCCUUUGACCUUAUUUUGAAUAAAAAAAUAAUUGUACAGUGCACAAACACACACACACACACACACACACACCGCAGUGGUUAGGUUCUAAACGCAUCCAGCUCCACACUAUAGCAGUGGAUCAGCAAUACGGCCAGUGCAGGAAUCCUGAGGUCUGUCCGUUGGCCGACAACUCCCCCCCCCCCCCCCCACACCCCCAGGGAGACUUAAUGGACUCUACUGAAUGGCCCUAAUGACCUGAGCUGCUCCAAGCCUGCCGGCCAAUGCAGGUGGCAUGGAGGGGGUCAAGAGUCAAGUCGUUGUGGAUGUCAGUACGUGACCUCCCAAAGGCUACUUAGACUACAAUUGUUGUGAAAACCAUUUAAUUUAAAUAACAUUAACAUAAAAUGUAAAUAGCAUUUUUGAUUCAUGCCGGCAACGAGAAACAGUCGCUGCACGUGUGCACGUGCUAGGUUUUGGCCAGACCACUGACCUGGACGGCGUGUCAACUCGCUGACAGGGCUGGUUACCUGGUGACUAGGUACCUACCUGGUGACUAGGUACCUACCUGGUGACUAGGUACCUACCUGGUGACUAGGUACCUACCUGGUGACUAGGUA